rnacentral:lncRNA from 1 species
AAAUAAUGAAGGAUCAAAUUCUGAUUGGAAAACACUUGCACUGUCAAACAAUCUCAAAUUUAAAAAGAUAACAAUACAUCACACUAUUAUCACUAAUACAAUCAGUGAUGAGAUGCAAAAUUACCAAAUUUAAAAUGAUUUCGACUGCAUCAAACUAUUAAACUAAUCAACGAUUUUCUCACACUUCAAACAUACAUCAAUACAUGAUAAAUCCGAGAGCUUCCCAUAGCAAUAACUGCCCCAACUAAGAACAUGAUCAACAACUGAAAAUCAGUUCCACCGUUCGAUUUAUACCCGGCAGUCAAAAUCUCCUAUACUCUCCUGUGUGCCCACAUGUUGGGAAUGGACAGUGUUUGUCAUGCGAACUUCCUACAAAUGAAAUUUAUAAUGUCAUUUACAAACAUUUCAACCUCAACUUAGGUAAGUUGGUCUAUGUAAAUCUCUUGGUCAAUUACCUGAACAUUGACUGGAGGUGAGACGUAGAUGGCUUUAACUGAGCAUAAGCAUUCAUUUUCUACUCAGUCAAUUUUAAAACUGAAUUCAUUCAUGAACAGUUUAGGAAGCUGAAAUUUAAGUUGGUCGAAAAUUAACUUCGCAUAAGCAGUUUCGAUUUCCAUAUCUAACUUGGUCGGAAAUUAAGUUCGAAAUAAAGAAGCUGAAAAUUAAAUAUGAAAAUAAUAUAACAAAUAGGGAAGCUGAAAAUUAAGUUCGAAAUAAUCUUACCCAUGGUGUCAUUGACGUCGAGGUCGUCGCCUCGGGAGCUGUCGGCUUCAUCACAAAAUUGCUCACCUUCGACCUAUGGCAUCAUCGGCCUCGGGUUCUUCAUCAUGUCGCCACCGACGUCGAAGUUGCCUGCACCGUGGAAUGGAUUUGGUUCAGAUUUGAUUUUGGAUUUGGGAUGAAAACUUUUAUAGUUUCGAAAGGGGGGAAAAUAUGCAGGGGAAACAGAGGCG